GAUGAACGCUGGCGGCGUGCCUAAUACAUGCAAGUCGAGCGAACGGACGAUAAGCUUGCUUCUCUGAUGUUAGCGGCGGACGGGUGAGUAACACGUGGAUAACCUACCUAUAAGACUGGGAUAACUUCGGGAAACCGGAGCUAAUACCGGAUAAUAUUUUGAACCGCAUGGUUCAAAAGUGAAAGACGGUCUUGCUGUCACUUAUAGCUGGAUCCGCGCUGCAUUAGCUAGUUGGUAAGGUAACGGCUUACCAAGGCAACGAUGCAUAGCCGACCUGAGAGGGUGAUCGGCCACACUGGAACUGAGACACGGUCCAGACUCCUACGGGAGGCAGCAGUAGGGAAUCUUCCGCAAUGGGCGAAAGCCUGACGGAGCAACGCCGCGUGAGUGAUGAAGGUCUUCGGAUCGUAAAACUCUGUUAUUAGGGAAGAACAGAUGUGUAAGUAACUGUGCACAUCUUGACGGUACCUAAUCAGAAAGCCACGGCUAACUACGUG
rnacentral:rRNA from 1 species